AGUAACGGCGAGUGAAGCGGCAACAGCUCAAAUUUGAAAUCUGGCUCUUUCAGGGUCCGAGUUGUAAUUUGCAGAGGGCGCUUUGGCUUUGGCAGCGGUCCAAGUUCCUUGGAACAGGACGUCACAGAGGGUGAGAAUCCCGUACGUGGUCGCUAGCUAUUGCCGUGUAAAGCCCCUUCGACGAGUCGAGUUGUUUGGGAAUGCAGCUCUAAAUGGGAGGUAAAUUUCUUCUAAAGCUAAAUACUGGCCAGAGACCGAUAGCGCACAAGUAGAGUGAUCGAAAGAUGAAAAGCACUUUGGAAAGAGAGUCAAACAGCACGUGAAAUUGUUGAAAGGGAAGCGCUUGCAGCCAGACUUGCUUGCAGUUGCUCAUCCGGGCUUUUGCCCGGUGCACUCUUCUGCAGGCAGGCCAGCAUCAGUUUGGGCGGUGGGAUAAAGGUCUCUGUCACGUACCUCUCUUCGGGGAGGCCUUAUAGGGGAGACGACAUACCACCAGCCUGGACUGAGGUCCGCGCAUUCGCUAGGAUGCUGGCGUAAUGGCUGUAAGCGGCCCGUCUUGAAACACGGACCAAGGAGUCUAACAUCUAUGCGAGUGUUUGGGUGUCAAGCCCGAACGCGUAAUGAAAGUGAACGGAGGUGGGAACCCGCAAGGGUGCACCAUCGACCGAUCCUGAUGUCUUCGGAAGGAUUUGAGUAAGAGCAUGGCUGUUGGGACCCGAAAGAUGGUGAACUAUGCUUGAAUAGGGUGAAGCCAGAGGAAACUCUGGUGGAGGCUCGCAGCGGUUCUGACGUGCAAAUCGAUCGUCAAA
rnacentral:rRNA from 1 species